rnacentral:lncRNA from 1 species
UUAAAAACAAGAUUUCCCCCAAAAGAAAAAAGGGAAAGAGGUGGGUUCCACAUUGCAAUUUGAGUCUGUUGAAGAUUUAAAAAAACUGAGUCAAGUCAUCGGAGCAACUUAAGUCCACGUUGACAACAAGUCCUACAGCUCGGGUCCCCUUCCCUGGCCGAUCCUCCUAUGCUUCUUUCUCCAUCUUCAAAAUUAAUGGAGCUUGGAGAAAGGUGAUGGUCUUCUUAAACUCAUGGAAUUUGAAGGACUACCUAAUUCAACUCCUUGUCAAUUUAGAAGCAUAUGGCUAAAGAAUCUCCAGCAGAUAAUAAUCUAUCCUCUGUUCAAAAACCUUCACCAAAGGAAAGUUUGCCACCUUCCAGGAUAGUCAUUUUUACUGUUGAACAACUCUUAUGAUCUGGAUUUUUCCCCUAAUGCUCUCGUGCAAAUGGAAUCCAUUGGUUUCUGGCCUACCUUCUGGAGCAGUAGAAAACACAUUUGCUUCUUCUUCCAUGUACCAGUCUUUCAGUUGUCUUGUUGAUGGGUAACAUCUCUUCAGAAGCUGAAAAGAGAUAGCAUCAAAUGUGUGACUAUUCCAUGUGGAUUUCUGAAGUGGUGUGGUCCUAUUCAGGAAAGUAUCAGAGUUCCAAAACGAUGCUCGAGUUGCCCCUUAUCCUGACUAUCCUGUAAAUAAACCCAACAUCAGAGAGAAGCCACCAACAUCCAAUGAACAAAUUCUAAUUAAAAUGGAAGUGGGGUAAGAACGGGUAUCCCUGAAGGUUCUCAUUGCUUAGGAAACAGUGUGUGUGCAUGUAAAACAAGUAAAUACUAGGUUCAGUUGAAAUGAAUGGGGCUUGUUAGUCACAAUUAACAGAAGUCCAAAUAGUUUUGAUGGGUAUUAGGCUAAGAAGUGGUCAAAGGAGAGGGCUUUGACACUAUAUUUAAUAUUAAGGUUUAGUCGGAUUGCCGGUCACUAGCAAUGGAGAAUCUGAAACACCAAUCAGAUUUUACAAGGAUUAUUCGGAGUAAAGGUACAGAGUAUUCUGAGCAACCUUCUAUCAAGUUAGUGGCCGGGUGCAAACCAGUUUUAGCAGGAUGGCUCUAUCAUGUCUUGUCCAACACAUUUGAGGGGCACUGAUUGGAGAAAACAGCUUUAGCAGAAAGAGAAGACAAAAAAUGGGGAGAUAAUGUGCAUGUAAUUGCUGGCUGAAAAGAAAACCAUUUUGUUGGUUGAAAAGGAAAGAUGCUAAAAUGUAUACCAUCUCCCUCAUCAAAUACUGCAUAUUUCUGCCCCCAAAUCAAACUUUCCCUACAGAAAGAUCACACAUAUCAAAGCAAGAAAUAAAUUCUAUUCUUUCAUUAUGAUAGCUCGGUGG